rnacentral:rRNA from 1 species
UACCUGGCGGAUGCUUACACAUGCAGUCGAACGGCCAGACAACGGUACUUCGGUCUCGGUGCCUGAGUGGCGAACGGGUGUGUAUAUAUUCGGAACGUGCCCAUUCGUGGGGGAUAACGUACUGAAAAUUACGCUAGUACCGCAUACGAUCUACGGAUGAAAGCGGGGGAUCGCAAGACCUCGCGCGAUUGGAUCGGCCCAUAUCAGAUUAGGUAGUUGGUGAGGUAAAGGCUCACCAAGGCCAACGAUCUGUAGCUGGUCUGAGAGGACUGACUCACGCCACACUGGAACUGAGACACGGUCCAGACUCCCUACGGGAGGCAGCAGUGGGGAAUAUUGGACAAUGGAGCGCAAGUCUGAUCCAGCCAUUCCGCGUGCUAGUGACAGAAGGCCUUCAGUGGUUGUAAACGUCGACUUUUGUACCAGAGACGAAAGACGUGUCUUCUGAGUUUAAUACUCACGGAGCUCAUGACCGGUACUGCCAACGAAUAUAGCACCGGGUAACUACGUUGUCCACGCAGACCGCGGCAAUAUCGUAAGGUGCGGACCGUUAAUCUGGAAUUACUGGGCGUUAAGCGUGCGGCAUAGCGGGGUAUGUAUAGACUAGAUGUCAAAUCCCCGGGCUCAACCUGGGACCUGGAUUUGUAGACUGCGCUAAGCGUUGAAGUAUCGGGAGA